CAGCAGCCGCGGGAAAACGGAGGGUGCAAGCGCUAAUCGGAAUUACUGGGCGUAAAGCGCACGCAGGCGGUCUGACAAGUCAGAUGUGAAAUCCCCGGGCUUAACCUGGGAACUGCAUUUGAAACUGUCAGGCUGGAGUCUUGUAGAGGGGGGUAGAAUUCCAGGUGUAGCGGUGAAAUGCGUAGAGAUCUGGAGGAAUACCGGUGGCGAAGGCGGCCCCCUGGACAAAGACUGACGCUCAGGUGCGAAAGCGUGGGGAGCAAACAGGAUUAGAUACCCCAGUAGUCCCUGUCUCUUAUAC
rnacentral:rRNA from 1 species